rnacentral:lncRNA from 1 species
GCAUCAACGACUGCAUCUUCUGCUGCUGUUGCUGUUGUGGCCAUGAUGUUGGGGAUUGUUGCAAUUGGUUGACUAGAUUCGAUAGGUUCGGUUUGUUAAAUUGAAGACUUGGUGGGGCUUGGAAGUUCAAUAACUUGGAUGGAUCAUCAGUGUUAAGGUUACCGUGGAGGGUAUUAGAUGAAAUCAUUGACUGAGGGAAAUAACCUGAUUGAGCAGGAUUGAACUGAUUAUUCUGCUGCAUGCUCAUCCAUUGCACUAAGCUCAAACCGGGAAAUAAUGAACUUGAGGCAUCCUUCACGCCAAGGUCAUCUCCAAGCCAAGGCAUAGCCCUCUUGAAAGCAUUUUCAAUAUCAGACUCAUCUUCUACAAAAUCAAUAACAAAGAAAAGAUCAUUCGUUACCACAUAUCUACGAAAAUUUCGGUUAUGCAAUGAGUUAGACAUAACCAAUGGAAGGAGAUAACAAAUAUCCAAAUGGAAUCUGAACUACGGGGGGUUAGCUACCUGGCAUUCCUGGUUGCUUAGGGAACUUCGGCCUAAAAAAAGGAGGUGGACAAAUGUAGAAAGGGGUCACUACUGGUUCAAUAUCCCAAAUCGAAACUCUGCUUGGGCGUUCACCCGCUGUUGAUUCAUCCCAUCCAACCUAUCAAAUUUUCACAACUUGACUGCCUCAAUAAAAUAGUACAAAGAUUCAUCGACUAUACUAAAGCACAUAGUGUUACUUGGCAGGGAGGCAGAAACAAAUUAUCACUCAUAACUGAGAUUAUAGAAUACUGAAUGACCGAACCAUAACGCAUGUUAUAUUACAAGUUUUUUUCCUUAGUGGCAUAAGUUGGCAAGAAGACUAAUAUAAUGAAAGUAAAAAUUCCAACAGAACUAACAGAUAAAGUUUUUUGUUCAAUCAUUCAGCAGCCCAUAGAUAUAAGAAAUGCCAGAAAACAAAUCAUGUUACAAUACCAAAACAAAAUAGGAAAUGGAGUGAAAUUACUUUUUCUAUUUUAUUUAUAUACAGUUAUCCAAAUAAUGCAUCUAGUUCUUUAUGGGACAUUAUAAUACCUGAAGGUUGCGCCAUUGUGAAUUCUUCCAUCUAACAGGAUCUAAGUCACUGAUUCCAGUGAUAGUACCCAUAUAUCUGCGCACUCCAGACUGCAUCUUCUGCUGCUGUUGCUGUUGUGGCCAUGAUGUUGGGGAUUGUUGCAAUUGGUUGACUAGAUUCGAUAGGUUCGGUUUGUUAAAUUGAAGACUUGGUGGGGCUUGGAAGUUCAAUAACUUGGAUGGAUCAUCAGUGUUAAGGUUACCGUGGAGGGUAUUAGAUGAAAUCAUUGACUGAGGGAAAUAACCUGAUUGAGCAGGAUUGAACUGAUUAUUCUGCUGCAUGCUCAUCCAUUGCACUAAGCUCAAACCGGGAAAUAAUGAACUUGAGGCAUCCUUCACGCCAAGGUCAUCUCCAAGCCAAGGCAUAGCCCUCUUGAAAGCAUUUUCAAUAUCAGACUCAUCUU